CAGCCCCUCGAGUGGUGGGGAUGAUUAUUUGGCCUAAAGCGUCCGUAGCCGGCCGAGUAAGUCCCCCGUUAAAUCCAGCGUCUCAAGCGUUGGACUGCGGGAGAUGCUACUUGGCUAGAGAGUGGGAGAGGUCAGCGGUAUUCUGGGGGUAGGGGCGAAAUCCUUUGAUCCCCGGAGGACCACCAGUGGCGAAGGCUGCUGACUAGAACACGUCUGACGGUCAGGGACGAAAGCUGGGGUAGCGAACCGGAUUAGAUACCCGCGUAGUCC
rnacentral:rRNA from 1 species